CAAAUUCAAGCAAGCACUAUUCUUCCAUAGAUCGAAUGCACAUUCAGGGUCAAGCAUGCUUCCUGGUCAAGCUUUAUUUGGAAUAAUGUCUUCCGAUUUUAUGCUAUCAAGACUAAAUCAACUCGCACCAAGUCCCACAGCUUGAAGAUCCUUGAAAAGGUUCAACUGUGUUCAAAGUGGAGCGAAAACAUUCAAGGAAACUGUACGAUUUGUGUCUGAAGUCCAUCAGCUUCUGUAAGAGCGCAACGGUCGGAAAAAGGGGAAAUACUGUUCGGGAUUGCGAUUUCAGAUUUCAAAGAUGAAAAGAACAGCAUGACAUAUAUAUUAUAUGUAUAUCUGGGCUUAUAUAUGGCCAUAAGUCUUUCAAUGAUCGUGACGAAGAACCCAUUAGUUCGCCUUAAGACAGGA